ACCCUCCGGUUCCCUUUCCCAUCAGAUCUGAACUCCGGUGUUAGGGUCGUAAGAGGAGGGAAAGUAACAAUGAACCUGGCCUCACAGCUCUGUAGCAUGUGGGCUGGUUUCGAACAAGG